rnacentral:rRNA from 1 species
AUAGGUGCCCGUACCGCAAACCGACACAGGUAGUCAAGAUGAGAAUUCUAAGGUGAGCGAGCGAACUCUCGUUAAGGAACUCGGCAAAAUGACCCCGUAACUUCGGGAGAAGGGGUGCUCUUUAGGGUUAACGCCCAGAAGAGCCGCAGUGAAUAGGCCCAAGCGACUGUUUAUCAAAAACACAGGUCUCUGCUAAACCGUAAGGUGAUGUAUAGGGGCUGACGCCUGCCCGGUGCUGGAAGGUUAAGAGGAGUGGUUAGCUUCUGCGAAGCUACGAAUCGAAGCCCCAGUAAACGGCGGCCGUAACUAUAACGGUCCUAAGGUAGCGAAAUUCCUUGUCGGGUAAGUUCCGACCCGCACGAAAGGCGUAACGAUUUGGGCACUGUCUCAACGAGAGACUCGGUGAAAUCAUAGUACCUGUGAAGAUGCAGGUUACCCGCGACAGGACGGAAAGACCCCGUGGAGCUUUACUGUAGCCUGAUAUUGAAAUUCGGCACAGCUUGUACAGGAUAGGUAGGAGCCUUUGAAACGUGAGCGCUAGCUUACGUGGAGGCGCUGGUGGGAUACUACCCUAGCUGUGUUGGCUUUCUAACCCGCACCACUUAUCGUGGUGGGAGACAGUGUCAGGCGGGCAGUUUGACUGGGGCGGUCGCCUCCUAAAAGGUAACGGAGGCGCUCAAAGGUUCCCUCAGAAUGGUUGGAAAUCAUUCAUAGAGUGUAAAGGCAUAAGGGAGCUUGACUGCGAGACCUACAAGUCGAGCAGGGUCGAAAGACGGACUUAGUGAUCCGGUGGUUCCGCAUGGAAGGGCCAUCGCUCAACGGAUAAAAGCUACCCCGGGGAUAACAGGCUUAUCUCCCCCAAGAGUUCACAUCGACGGGGAGGUUUGGCACCUCGAUGUCGGCUCAUCGCAUCCUGGGGCUGUAGUCGGUCCCAAGGGUUGGGCUGUUCGCCCAUUAAAGCGGUACGCGAGCUGGGUUCAGAACGUCGUGAGACAGUUCGGUCCCUAUCCGUCGUGGGCGUAGGAAAUUUGAGAGGAGCUGUCCUUAGUACGAGAGGACCGGGAUGGACAUACCUCUGGUGUACCAGUUGUCGUGCCAACGGCAUAGCUGGGUAGCUAUGUGUGGACGGGAUAAGUGCUGAAAGCAUCUAAGCAUGAAGCCCCCCUCAAGAUGAGAUUUCCCAACUUCGGUUAUAAGAUCCCUCAAAGAUGAUGAGGUUAAUAGGUUCGAGGUGGAAGCAUGGUGACAUGUGGAGCUGACGAAUACUAAUCGAUCGAAGACUUAAUCAAAA